GAUAACACAAGACGAAGGUUACAGAGAGGAUGAUUCUUCCAUAUUAUAUAACUUUUUAAAAAACAUGUACACCUCAUCUUAAUGGUUACCUCUUACUAUAUUGCUUGUCAUUUUUCUUGAAUGCAUAUAGGCUCAGGAGAGUGAAGAAUGUAGAGAGGAUGAAAGGAGCAUUGAAGCUCAUAUCAAUGAAAUGUCUACAGAGAUGCUUAAGGUACACCCAGAUCUGAACUCUUUAAAGGAGAGAAUGAGACGAACCUAUGCAUACCGAAAGACUUUCAUGGCAACUGCCAAGGCAGAGGAAAUCAUCGAAAAGUUUCCCGCACUGAAGCUUCCUAAAAUAGUUGGUAUCUUCAAGCAUUGAAUUGACCAUAUUUAAUUGUAUGUGUAUUAUUUCAUUUAUGAUCAUCAAGUAUUUUGAGAUGACACUUUUUAUCCCUCCUUACAGCUUCUGUGGGAGAUGAAGGAGCAAUUCCUUGUAGAAGCUGAUUGCUAAUGGUCACAGAGUUGGAUCGAAUGGCAACGAAGAUGGUUCAAAGAGCAUCUAUGUGUGACCUAAAGGACUGCUGCCAAAUCAAUGCCUGCCUGGAUGAUUCAGACUCAUUAGGGAUGCAGCAAUUCUACUGCUGCCUUCCAUUUUCAGAGAGGACUCAUCCUUUCUAUACACUCUACUGGAGGAGCCAAGCGUGCCUACUCCAGCAAUCAUGCUCCAUAACACACACGAGGGGAACCCUUUGC